rnacentral:rRNA from 1 species
CCUACGGGGGGCUGCAGUGGGGAAUAUUGGACAAUGGGGGGAACCCUGAUCCAGCCAUGCCGCGUGUGUGAAGAAGGCCCUCGGGUUGUAAAGCACUUUCAGUGAGGAAGAACGCCUGGUGGUUAAUACCCAUCAGGAAAGACAUCACUCACAGAAGAAGCACCGGCUAACUCCGUGCCAGCAGCCGCGGUAAUACGGAGGGUGCGAGCGUUAAUCGGAAUUACUGGGCGUAAAGCGCGCGUAGGUGGCUUGAUAAGCCGGUUGUGAAAGCCCCGGGCUCAACCUGGGAACGGCAUCCGGAACUGUCAAGCUAGAGUGCAGGAGAGGAAGGUAGAAUUCCCGGUGUAGCGGUGAAAGGCGUAGAGAUCGGGAGGAAUACCAGUGGCGAAGGCGGCCUUCUGGACUGACACUGACACUGAGGUGCGAAAGCGUGGGUAGCAAACAGGAUUAGAUACCCCAGUAGUC